UACGAAGGGGGCUAGCGUUGUUCGGAAUUACUGGGCGUAAAGCGCACGUAGGCGGAUAUUUAAGUCAGGGGUGAAAUCCCAGAGCUCAACUCUGGAACUGCCUUUGAUACUGGGUAUCUUGAGUAUGGAAGAGGUGAGUGGAAUUCCGAGUGUAGAGGUGAAAUUCGUAGAUAUUCGGAGGAACACCAGUGGCGAAGGCGGCUCACUGGUCCACUUACUGACGCUGAGGUGCGAAAGCGUGGGGAGCAAACAGG
rnacentral:rRNA from 1 species